rnacentral:rRNA from 1 species
AUACGGAGGGUGCAAGCGUUGUUCGGAAUCACUGGGCGUAAAGCGCGCGUAGGUGGAUCAAUUAGUUGAGGGUGAAAUCCCGGGGCUCAACCUCGGAACUGCCUUCAAUACUGUUGAUCUUGAGACCGAGAGAGGUGAGUGGAAUUCCUAGUGUAGAGGUGAAAUUCGUAGAUAUUAGGAAGAACACCAGUGGCGAAGGCGGCUCACUGGCUCGGUACUGACGCUGAGGUGCGAAAGCGUGGGGAGCAAACAGGAUUAGAAACCCUAGUAGUCC